ensembl:lncRNA
UCCGUCAGGCUUUUUUUUUUUUUUUUUUUAAAUCGUUUUAACUUUUGUCUCCUCUCUCUGUUUCUUUUGUUCUUUUCUUUUUAGUGCCUUCUGCUCCCCGCGCUGAUGGAGAAGUGUCGCAGGAGGCCAUUACUGCCUGACCACGUGACCGCAGAAAUCGCCACCCGACCCCCUGCCCCCCGAGUGACACCUUUGAUAGCAUAGAAGAUGUUCCACCGCACAGAUGGGUCCGUGAGUCCAUGUCCUCAUCCAUCACGCCUGAUGCGAGGCUGAUGCCUCUGCACAAAGACGUUACUGAGAUUGGAAAUGAAGGGAGGCCGAUUGGCAAAAAUCUAUGGUGCGAUAACAGGAUGCCAUGAGGUCCAGCUGGAGGGUGAGAGGACCAUGGAUUUGUGGGGGUCUGCCUUCCUGCUGGUUUACCAGUGACCUUCUCAACAGGAGGACCUUCACACCUGGACCACCAGACUGGACCUCGGGGCGCAUGGAAGCAGAAAUCACUGGACUGGUAAUUGGUUCCUCUAAAUCUGCUGAGCUCUGAGAAAGCAAAACACUGUUUUCAUCAGACAGAGAUGGGAAGAGCUGAAAAUCUGGAAGAGAGGGGCCAUGUGUGUGCUUCCCUUGCCUAGGUGGUGAUUACACAACAGUCAGUGUGGUCCCAAGUUAAAGGGUGACCAUGGACAAACAGCGUUUACACCCAUGUGGAAAUGUUGAGGCUUCUAAUUUUAAGACUUUGAAAAUGUAAUACUAUAUAUGUCCAGAAUACCUGCUUUUUCCCCAGGUAUACAUGGUAGAAACAUAAUUUCCAGAAAUGCAUCUCAGGAAUAUACAAGAAUAAGCUUCAAAAAGGCAGACAAUUAUAAGGACAUUGAAGAAUAUUCCAGUUCACUGGAACACCGAUGACUUGUGGAAGACACACCAGCCUGAGCUUAUUUCUAAGCAGUGUGGUGGUGGAUGGCCGCAUCUCAGCCAGGGUGGAGCAACGGCACACUGCAAUUAACUAAAAAUAUGUUGAGUUAAAAUGUACUUAAUCUAGUAAAACAUGAACAUUCAGUUGAUUCCAAAGGAAUUGGUGAAGGCCAGUCUGAAGGCCAGUCCUGCGCAGCAAAGCAAUUGACUUCUAUGGCAGAGAUUUCAGGGUUGAAUGUUGUUGUGGGAAGUUGAUGCAUGUAAUGGUGUGUUGUUUCCAUAUUGCCACUGUGUCGUGCUGGUGUUGAGGUUGUGUUUAUUACCCACUUUCUAGUUGUCGCCCUCUACCUCUGGUAAGGUAAAUAAAUUUAUAUUCAUGCCAUUUGCAGGGUGACUUACAAUCAGUAGUUACAGGGACAGGCCCUCUGGAGACAUUCAGGGUUAAGUGUCUUGCUCAGGGACACAAUAGUAGUAAGUGGGGUUUGAAUCUGUGACUUUUUAAUUAUUAUCUUAAUUAUUUGUUUAAUGUAUUGAGACAUUUAUAUUUUUAUCAAUAAUACUAUGUGUUAAAUUAAGAUUUUCUUUAUUCAAAAUGUGCUAUGAAAUACACCCCAAAAAGUUCACAUUUUUGAGUAGAUUCUGAAGAGAUAUCAAUCUGACCUACGACCCACUACAGAUGCACUACUUUUUUCCAGUGACGUUGAUCUGUUUGAUUAUGGACCGUAAAUAAUUUCUAAUCCCUAAUAAUGAACAGGCUACUAUGCAUUAACAUAUUUAAUGCAGCUUUAUUUAUAAGUUUUUGUCUAUAAUAUCACUAUUGACAGAUGCACAUUUGAUACUGAGCCUACACGACUCGCCAAUCAAUCGAAUAGCUGAGAAUAGAAUGUUCAGAAACAAGAAAAAAGAAGCUUGUGUUAUAAAAGCGAAAAGGUAAUAAAACUCUCCUCUGACCUUGCAAAUCGAGUCUUGUCUCUUGAUCUCAAAAGCAGCACAAAGGCGUCUGAAAGUGAAGUGUCCCUCCACCUCCUGAGCCACUUUGAACAAUUUGUCCCCCUCACUCAAUUCAUAUAUACACUGCAUUAUUCUGUUAAAGCAGCCUCAGGAAUCUAGGGGGGAUUUUUUUCCCCUCCUUACUCUGCGCCAUUGUCAUUAUAUUCUUAAGUAAGUGUUGGAUUUUGACUCCAAGGGUGCGCUUGGCUUUGAGACUUGUGGAUUUAGCGCCGUGGUAUUGCCUCAUUUUUCAUAUCCAUUGUUGGCAUGUCAGCGUGUCAUAGUUGCUCGGUGGAGCUGUUAGAUCAGUCUAAAUGUAUAAAUCAUCCUGGAUCUGACACACUCAUUUAAUUUGUGUGGCCCUGGCGCGGCGGCACGCUUAUUAAUUGAAAAAUCCCCGCCUGUGUGCUGAGUGAGACCAUUUUGGCCCGUUUUUAUUUUAUUUUUAUUAACAUGGAUAUUCCUGAUGAUUUCCCCCAGUAGCACGCUGACUGCCCAGCAGGCACUUGUCAUUUAUCAUCAUAUGCUGUAUUUGUCAAUCUGUUGAAUUGUUUGAGUAUAAAGUCCUCAAGAAAAUCCCUUUGCAUAUAAAGAAAGAAGGAUUAAAAAAAAAAAACAUAUAUAUAAAUAUAUCACCGUGCUCUCACGCUGUGCUGGUUCCAACCCCAGAGUCUGCGUUAUUGUUUUCCAUCUGUGAAAUAAAGUAACAGGUACUUAAUGUACCAAAAACAAUUUGUCC